rnacentral:rRNA from 1 species
CCAAUCUAGAGUAUCGGAGAGGAAAGUGGAAUUCCUAGUGUAGCGGUGAAAUGCGUAGAUAUUAGGAAGAACACCAGUGGCGAAGGCGACUUUCUGGACGAAAACUGACGCUGAGGCGCGAAAGCCAGGGGAGCGAACGGGAUUAGAUACCCCGGUAGUCCUGGCCGUAAACGAUGGGUACUAGGUGUAGGAGGUAUCGACCCCUUCUGUGCCGGAGUUAACGCAAUAAGUACCCCGCCUGGGGAGUACGACCGCAAGGUUGAAACUCAAAGGAAUUGACGGGGGCCCGCACAAGCGGUGGAGUAUGUGGUUUAAUUCGACGCAACGCGAAGAACCUUACCAGGUCUUGACAUUGAUGGACAGAACCAGAGAUGGUUCCUCUUCUUCGGAAGCCAGAAAACAGGUGGUGCACGGUUGUCGUCAGCUCGUGUCGUGAGAUGUUGGGUUAAGUCCCGCAACGAGUGCAACCCCUAUCUUAUGUUGCCAGCACUUUGGGUGGGGACUCAUGAGAGACUGCCGCAGACAAUGCGGAGGAAGGCGGGGAUGACGUCAAAUCAUCAUGCCCCUUAUGACCUGGGCUACACACGUACUACAAUGGGAGUUAAUAGACGGAAGCGAAACCGCGAGGUGGAGCAAACCCGAGAAACACUCUCUCAGUUCGGAUCGUAGGCUGCAACUCGCCUACGUGAAGUCGGAAUCGCUAGUAAUCGCAGGUCAGCAUACUGCGGUGAAUACGUUCCCGGGCCUUGUACACACCGCCCGUCACACCACGAAAGUCGGAAGUGCCCAAAGCCGGU